UCCCUGGUGGCUCAGCAGGUUAAGGAUUCAGCAUUGUCACUGCUGUGGCUCAGGUUUGAUCCCUGGCCUGGGGA
rfam:Sus scrofa chromosome X.